rnacentral:rRNA from 1 species
CAAUUCUGGUUGAUCCUGCCAGAGGCCACUGCUAUCCGGCUGGGACUAAGCCAUGCGAGUCCAGGGGCUCGCUUCGGCGAGCACCGGCGGACGGCUCAGUAACACGUGGACAACCUGCCCUCGGGAGGGGGAUAACCCCGGGAAACUGGGGCUAAACCCCCAUAGGGGAUGGAUACUGGAAUGUUCCAUCUCCGAAAGUCCGCAAGGAGCCCGAGGAUGGGUCUGCGGCGGAUUAGGUAGUUGGUGGGGUAACGGCCCACCAAGCCUAAGAUCCGUACGGGCCAUGGGAGUGGGAGCCCGGAGAUGGACCCUGAGACAAGGGUCCAGGCCCUACGGGGCGCAGCAGGCGCGAAACCUCCGCAA